CCUACGGGUGGCAGCAGUGGGGGAUAUUGCACAAUGGGGGAAACCCUGAUGCAGCGACGCCGCGUGUGGGAAGACGGUCCUCUGGAUUGUAAACCACUGUCCCCAGGGACGAAGAUGACGGUACCUGGGGAGGACGCUCCGGCUAACUACGUGCCAGCAGCCGCGGUAAUACGUAGGGCGCGAGCGUUGUCCGGAAUUACUGGGUGAAAGGGGAGCGUAGGCGGGACUGCAAGUUGGGUGUCAAAUCUACCGGCUCAACCGGUAGCCGCACUCAAAACUGCAGUUCUUGAGUGAAGUAGAGGCAGGCGGAAUUCCUAGUGUAGCGGUGAAAUGCGUAGAUAUUAGGAGGAACACCAGUGGCGAAGGCGGCCUGCUGGGCUGUGACUGACGCUGAGGCUCGAAAGUGUGGGGAGCAAACAGGAUUAGAUACCCCGGUAGUC
rnacentral:rRNA from 1 species